AUUGAACGCUGGCGGCAUGCUUUACACAUGCAAGUCGAACGGUAACAGGCCGCAAGGUGCUGACGAGUGGCGAACGGGUGAGUAAUGCAUCGGAACGUGCCCAGUCGUGGGGGAUGACGCAGCGAAAGCUGCGCUAAUACCGCAUACGAUCUAUGGAUGAAAGCGGGGGACCGUAAGGCCUCGCGCGAUUGGAGCGGCCGAUGUCAGAUUAGGUAGUUGGUGAGGUAAAGGCUCACCAAGCCAACGAUCUGUAGCUGGUCUGAGAGGACGACCAGCCACACUGGGACUGAGACACGGCCCAGACUCCUACGGGAGGCAGCAGUGGGGAAUUUUGGACAAUGGGCGCAAGCCUGAUCCAGCAAUGCCGCGUGCAGGAAGAAGGCCUUCGGGUUGUAAACUGCUUUUGUACGGAACGAAACGGCUCUCACUAAUACUGGGGGCUAAUGACGGUACCGUAAGAAUAAGCACCGGCUAACUACGUGCCAGCCGCCGCAGUAAGAC
rnacentral:rRNA from 1 species